AAUGAACGCUGGCGGCAGGCCUAAAACAUGCAAGUCGAACGCCUGUAGCAAUACAGGAGUGGCGCACGGGUGAGUAACACGUGGGAAUAUGCCUUUUGGUACGGAACAACGUCUGGAAACGGACGCUAAUACCGUAUGGUCCCUUCGGGGUAAAGAUUUAUCGCCAAAAGAUUAGCCCGCGCUGGAUUAGCUAGUUGGUGAGGUAAUGGCUCACCAAGGCGACGAUCCAUAGCUGGUCUGAGGGGACGAUCAGCCACACUGGGACUGAGACACGGCCCAGACUCCUACGGGAGGCAGCAGUUAGGAAUAUUGGACAAUGGGCGCAAGCCUGAUCCAGCCAUGCCGCGUGAGUGAUGAAGGCCUUCGGGUUGUAAAACUCUUUAGCCGAUGAAUAUAAUGACUGUAGUCGGAAAAUAAGCCCCGGCUAACUUCGUGCCAGCAGCCGCCGUAAGAC
rnacentral:rRNA from 1 species